UACAUAAUAAAUUAUUUUUAUCCGUUUUUGAUAAUAUAUUUAACGAAAAUUUUAAUGAAAAUGAUAGAAUAACAAAAAAUGAAUUAGUUUCUAUUUUAGCUUGUAUUUGUACAAAUAUUGUUAUAAAUUAUUUAAAACUAAAAGCAGAGAAAAAAGUCAACGAUUUUGAUUUUACUUUUGAUUAUAGUGUUAUGAACAUUUUAAGUUUAAUAAAUUUUGAAUAUGAUGUUAAUGAAGAAAUUAAAAAAAAAAAGAGUGAAAGAAAGAAAGCACAAGUAUAAAAACAAUGAUAAAAAAAUGAAUAAACAGCAAGUUAUGAUAGGUAACAAUAGUUAUCACAAUAGUAAUAGCCAUGUGUGCACUAAAGAUAGUACACAUGAAAAUACAUUUCCUGAAUUAAGUCCUAAAGUAUAUAACACAAAAAAUGAUAAAGGUAUGUAUGAAGUUGAAGAAACAGAAAAUGAAAUAGAUAUAAAUAUUAAUAAUAAAAAUAGUAAAGAAGAAAAUGACAAAUUAAAUGAGUAUAUAAGAAAGUUAGAGUAUAAUGAAAUGAAUAUAAAUGAAAUAAAUAUAUAUAUAGAUUUGUUUUUUGGUAAGAAUACAUAUAAUAAUAUAUUUAUUAAAAAUAAUAUAGAUAUACAUAGAAUUUAUAAUACUUUAAAUAAUACAUUGUUAGAUAAUUGUAAUGAGAAAGAAAAUGUUUCGGAAUUAAAAAAGUUUGUACAAAAAGAAGAAAGUAAUUUACAAAAAAAAAAAAUUAAUGUUAGAAAUGCGAACUGCUUUGAUGAUUAUAUGCAUAAUUAUAAUACAUUAGAGGAAAAAAAAAAUUUGAUGGAAGUGCAAAAUAUUUUAUAUGAUGGGAAAGGACAUAUAAGUGAUUUUAAAAAUAUGAGUAAGACAAAAAAAAAAAAAAAAAAUAGUAAAAAAAAAAGUGAAUAUGAUGACAAAGACGAUCACGAUGAUACGGAUAACAAGCGGAACAGCACGAAAGGAUUGGGUUUAGAAAACCUUGAGAGUCACAGAACAACUGACGUAGUAAAUGGUCGUGAGGCCGGGGAGGAUAAUGGAACUCACAGUGGUGGUGAUGGUGAUAGUGGUGGUGAUGGUGAUAGUGGUGGUGAUGGUGAUAGUGGUGGUGAUGGUGAUAGUGGUGGUGAUAGCAGUGGAAAUAGUGGUGGUGAUAGCAGUGGAAAUAGUGGUGGUGAUAGCAGUGGAAAUAGUGGUGGUAACAGUAGUGGUUACAGUGGUGGUAGUAAUAGUGGCUACGGUAACAGUGGUGGUAAUAGUAGCAAUAAUGAAAGUAAUGGUAAGAACAAAGGCGAAUACAGUGGUAAAAAGAACGAUGAGAAUUUAAAUGUUUUUUCCAAUGUGUUAAUUACAUACAAUGAAAACUCGAGUAAAAAUAGAGAUGAUAAAGAAGAAAAAAAAGAUAAAAUAUUGGUAAUAGAGUUU
rnacentral:lncRNA from 1 species